UACAGAGGGUGCUAGCGUUGCUCGGAAUCACUGGGCGUAAAGGGCGCGUAGGCGGGAUGGCAAGUCAGUCGUGAAAUCUCUCGGCUCAACCGAGAAACGUCGGCUGAUACUGCCGUUCUUGAGGGAUGCAGAGGAGACUGGAAUUCCCGGUGUAGCGGUGAAAUGUGUAGAGAUCGGGAGGAACACCGGUGGCGAAGGCGGGUCUCUGGGCAUCUCCUGACGCUGAGGCGCGAAAGCGUGGGGAGCAAACGGG
rnacentral:rRNA from 1 species